UACGGAAGGUCCGGGCGUUAUCCGGAUUUGUUGGGUUUAAAGGGAGCGCAGGCUGAUUAUUAAGCGUGACGUGAAAUGUAGCCGCUCAACGGCUGAACUGCGUCGCGAACUGGUAGUCUUGAGUGAGUUCGAUGUCGGCGGAGUUCGUGGUGCAACGGUGAAAUGCUUAGAUAUCACGAAGAACUCCGAUUGCGAAGGCAGCCAACAAGGCCUUUACUGACGCUAAAGCUCGAAGGUGCGGGUAUCGAAC
rnacentral:rRNA from 1 species